AUGGCUCAGGAUGAACGCUAGCGGCAGGCUUAACACAUGCAAGUCGAGGGGCAUCGGGAGUAGCAAUACUGCCGGCGACCGGCGCAAGGGUGCGUAACGCGUGAGCAACAUGCCCGUAUCAGGGGGAUAAUCCAUGGAAACGUGGUCUAAUACCCCAUAGUAAUUAUGUAAGGCAUCUUAUAUAAUUUAAAGCUUUGGUGGAUACGGAUUGGCUCGCGUGACAUUAGCUAGAUGGUAAGGUAACGGCUUACCAUGGCUACGAUGUCUAGGGGUUCUGAGAGGAAGGUCCCCCCACACUGGAACUGAGACACGGUCCAGACUCCUACGGGAGGCAGCAGUGAGGAAUAUUGGACAAUGGAUGGAAAUCUGAUCCAGCCAUGCCGCGUGCAGGAAAAGACGGCCCUAUGGGUUGUAAACUGCUUUUGUAUGGGAGCAAUAAGGGCUACGCGUAGUCCGAUGAGAGUACCAUACGAAUAAGCACCGGCUAACUCCGUGCCAGCCGCUGC
rnacentral:rRNA from 1 species